rnacentral:snRNA from 1 species
UAUUGCGGAAGCUCAACACUGGAGUUCGUUUGGAACGAUACACAGAAGAUUAGCAUGGCCCCUGCUCAAAGAUGAUAUGCACAAUCGAGAAAUGGUCCAAAUUUUU